GUUUGUUGAGUCGUGAGGUAAAGGGACAUUCGAGUUACAGUGGGAGGAGGAAAUCAAUAAUUCCACAUUAAAUGUGAGAGGUACAUUAUUGCUCCAGUGUGCUAGUCUUGAAAAUGGGCAUGCUUGUGACGAUAGAAGCCAUUUAGAGUCAGAGAUGAACACAUGGUCACCUCUUCAUGUUAUCAGAAAACAAGCUAAAUCCAAAGAUUGAAGAAUGUUGUCAGGUAUAAAUCUUCUUUACAAGUUAAUGA